rnacentral:rRNA from 1 species
UGGAUUAGUGGCGAACGGGUGAGUAACACGUGGGCAAUCUGCCCUGUACUUUGGGAUAAGCCUGGGAAACUGGGUCUAAUACCGGAUAUGACUUCCGCGGGCAUCCGUGGUGGUGGAAAGCUCCGGCGGUACAGGAUGAGCCCGCGGCCUAUCAGCUUGUUGGUGGGGUAAUGGCCUACCAAGGCGACGACGGGUAGCCGGCCUGAGAGGGUGACCGGCCACACUGGGACUGAGACACGGCCCAGACUCCUACGGGAGGCAGCAGUGGGGAAUAUUGCACAAUGGGCGCAAGCCUGAUGCAGCGACGCCGCGUGAGGGAUGACGGCCUUCGGGUUGUAAACCUCUUUCGCCAGGGACGAAGCGCAAGUGACGGUACCUGGAUAAGAAGCACCGGCUAACUACGUGCCAGCAGCCGCGGUAAUACGUAGGGUGCGAGCGUUGUCCGGAAUUAUUGGGCGUAAAGAGCUCGUAGGCGGUUUGUCGCGUCGUUCGUGAAAACUCCACGCUUAACGUGGAGCGUGCGGGCGAUACGGGCAGACUUGAGUUCGGUAGGGGAGACUGGAAUUCCUGGUGUAGCGGUGAAAUGCGCAGAUAUCAGGAGGAACACCGGUGGCGAAGGCGGGUCUCUGGGCCGAUACUGACGCUGAGGAGCGAAAGCGUGGGGAGCGAACAGGAUUAGAUACCCUGGUAGUCCACGCUGUAAACGUUGGGCGCUAGGUGUGGGCGACAUCCACGUUGUCCGUGCCGUAGCU